rnacentral:rRNA from 1 species
GACGAACGCUGGCGGCGUGCCUAACACAUGCAAGUCGAGCGAGGAGAGUUCUUUCGGGUAACAAACCUAGCGGCGGACGGGUGAGUAACACGUGGGCAACCUGCCUUGUAGAGGGAAGUAGCCUUCCGAAAGGAAAGAUUAAUAACCGCAUAACAUUACAGUUUCGCAUGAAACAGUAAUUAAAGGAGUAAUCCGCUACAAGAUGGGCCCGCGGCGCAUUAGCUAGUUGGUGAGGUAACGGCUCACCAAGGCGACGAUGCGUAGCCGACCUGAGAGGGGUGAUCGGCCACAUUGGGACUGAGACACGGCCCAGACUCCUACGGGAGGCAGCAGUGGGGAAUAUUGCACAAUGGGGGAAACCCUGAUGCAGCAACGCCGCGUGAGUGAUGAAGGUUUUCGGAUCGUAAAGCUCUGUCUUCGGGGACGAUAAUGACGGUACCCGAGGAGGAAGCCACGGCUAACUACGUG